rnacentral:sRNA from 1 species
CGGCCGCCAGUUGCGGGCAGAUCAGGUGCACAUGACAGUCGACGCCGCCCGCGGUGAGGAUGCGGCCGUUGCCGGCGAUGAUCUCGGUGGACGGUCCGACCACCAAGUCCGGAUGCACCCCGGUCAUGAUGUCGGGAUUGCCGGCCUUGCCGAUCGCGACGAUGCGGCCGUCACGGAUACCGAUGUCGGCCUUGAUGAUUCCCCAGUGGUCGACGAUCACCGCGCCGGUGAUCACGGUGUCCGGGGUGCCGUCGGCGCGGGUGGCCCGGCCCUGCCCCAUCGACUCGCGCAG